GGGACAAGCCCUGGAAACGGGGUCUAAUACCGGAUAUCACUGCCACUCGCAUGGGUGGUGGUUGAAAGCUCCGGCGGUGAAGGAUGAGCCCGCGGCCUAUCAGCUUGUUGGUGAGGUAAUGGCUCACCAAGGCGACGACGGGUAGCCGGCCUGAGAGGGCGACCGGCCACACUGGGACUGAGACACGGCCCAGACUCCUACGGGAGGCAGCAGUGGGGAAUAUUGCACAAUGGGCGAAAGCCUGAUGCAGCGACGCCGCGUGAGGGAUGACGGCCUUCGGGUUGUAAACCUCUUUCAGCAGGGAAGAAGCGAAAGUGACGGUACCUGCAGAAGAAGCGCCGGCUAACUACGUGCCAGCAGCCGCGGUAAUACGUAGGGCGCAAGCGUUGUCCGGAAUUAUUGGGCGUAAAGAGCUCGUAGGCGGCUUGUCACGUCGGGUGUGAAAGCCCGGGGCUUAACCCCGGGUCUGCAUUCGAUACGGGCUAGCUAGAGUGUGGUAGGGGAGAUCGGAAUUCCUGGUGUAGCGGUGAAAUGCGCAGAUAUCAGGAGGAACACCGGUGGCGAAGGCGGAUCUCUGGGCCAUUACUGACGCUGAGGAGCGAAAGCGUGGGGAGCGAACAGGAUUAGAUACCCUGGUAGUCCACGCCGUAAACGGUGGGAACUAGGUGUUGGCGACAUUCCACGUCGUCGGUGCCGCAGCUAACGCAUUAAGUUCCCCGCCUG
rnacentral:rRNA from 1 species